AUCUUUGUCAUCGAUGGAUGGAUUUUCAAAUAACUUGGCAUGAAUGUGUACCACAGUAAGACGACGUGUCGCGCGCAAGACCCAGUCCGUAGCUCAAAGGUCAAGGUCACACUUAGACGUUAAAGGUCAUAUUUCAUGAUAGUGCAUUGAUGGGCGUGUCCGGUCCAUAUCUUUGUCAUUCAUGCAUGGAUUUUAAAAUUAUUGGGCAUGAAUGUGUACCACAGUAAGACGACGUGUCGCGCGCAAGACCCAGGUCCGUAGGUCAAAGGUCCUAAACUCUAACAUCGGCCAUAACUAUUCAUUCAAAGUGCCAUCGGGGGCAUGUGUCAUCCUAUGGAGACAGCUCUUGUUUUUAA